ACGAACGCUGGCGGCGUGCUUCACACCUGCAAGUCGAACGGAAAGGCCCUGCUUUUGUGGGGUGCUCGAGUGGCGAACGGGUGAGUAACACGUGAGUAACCUGCCCUUGACUUUGGGAUAACUUCAGGAAACUGGGGCUAAUACCGGAUAGGAGCUCCUGCUGCAUGGUGGGGGUUGGAAAGUUUCGGCGGUUGGGGAUGGACUCGCGGCUUAUCAGCUUGUUGGUGGGGUAGUGGCUUACCAAGGCUUUGACGGGUAGCCGGCCUGAGAGGGUGACCGGCCACAUUGGGUCUGAGAUACGGCCCAGACUCCUACGGGAGGCAGCAGUGGGGAAUAUUGCACAAUGGGCGGAAGCCUGAUGCAGCAACGCCGCGUGCGGGAUGACGGCCUUCGGGUUGUAAACCGCUUUCGCCUGUGACGAAGCGUGAGUGACGGUAAUGGGUAAAGAAGCACCGGCUAACUACGUG
rnacentral:rRNA from 1 species